rnacentral:rRNA from 1 species
AGUCAUUGUAGCAAUACAAGGCAUACGGCUCAGUAACGCGUAGUCAACCUAACCUAUGGACGGGAAUAACCUCGGGAAACUGAGAAUAAUGCCCGAUAGAACAUUAUGCCUGGAAUGGUUUAUGUUCCAAAUGAUUUAUCGCCGUAGGAUGGGACUGCGGCCUAUCAGUUUGUUGGUGAGGUAAUGGCCCACCAAGACUAUUACAGGUACGGGCUCUGAGAGGAGUAGCCCGGAGAUGGGUACUGAGACACGGACCCAGGCCCUAUGGGGCGCAGCAGGCGAGAAAACUUUGCAAUGUGCGAAAGCACGACAAGGUUAAUCCGAGUGGUUUCUGCUAAAGAAACCUUUUGUCAGUCCUAGAAACACUGAUGAAUAAGGGGUGGGCAAGUUCUGGUGUCAGCCGCCGCGGUAAAACCAGCACCUCAAGUGGUCAGGAUGAUUAUUGGGCCUAAAGCAUCCGUAGCCGGCUCUGUAAGUUUUCGGUUAAAUCUGUACGCUCAACGUACAGGCUGCCGGGAAUACUGCAGAGCUAGGGAGUGGGAGAGGUAGACGGUACUCGGUAGGAAGGGGUAAAAUCCUUUGAUCUAUUGAUGACCACCUGUGGCGAAGGCGGUCUACCAGAACACGUCCGACGGUGAGGGAUGAAAGCUGGGGGAGCAAACCGGAUUAGAUACCCGGGUAGUCCCAGC